GCCGCGUACAAAUUACGUCCUUAAAAACGAAAAUAUACGUCGCGACAACCGAAUUGCAUUCGCUGUUUUUCGACGACUGUUCCGAAUUGCGUCCGCAAAAAUAAUUGUUGUUCUAUUUCUAUAUGUUUGAUGAUAAACUCGUUAAUAUUUAUCCGUCGAUUAUCUAUUAUCGAUACCUUAUUAUAAGUUGGUAAAUAUCCCUU